GAUGAACGCUGGCGGCGUGCCUAAUACAUGCAAGUCGAGCGAACAGAUGAGGAGCUUGCUCCUCUGACGUUAGCGGCGGACGGGUGAGUAACACGUGGAUAACCUACUUAUAAGACUGGGAUAAUUACGGGAAAACGGAGAUAAUACAGGAUCAUAUAUUGAACCGGAUGGUUCAAUAGUGAAUGACGGCUUUGCUGUUACUUAUAGAUGGAUCCGCGCUGCAUUAGCUAGUUGGUAGGGUAACGGCUUACCAAGGCAACGAUGCGUAGCCGAUCUGAGAGGAUGAUAGGCCACACUGGAACUGAGACACGGUCCAGACUCCUACGGGAGGCAGCAGUAGGGAAUCUUCGACAAUGGGCGAAAGCCUGACGGAGCAACGCCGCGUGAGUGAAGAAGGUCUUCGGAUCGUAAAACUCUUUUAUUAGGGAAGAACAAAAGCGUAUGUAACUAUGGACGUCUUGACGGUACCUAAUCAAAAAGCCACGGCUAACUACGUG
rnacentral:rRNA from 1 species